GACGAACGCUGGCGGCGUGCUUAACACAUGCAAGUCGAACGGUGACCUCGAGAGCUUGCUCUUGGGUGAUCAGUGGCGAACGGGUGAGUAACACGUGAGGAACCUGCCCCAGACUCUGGAAUAACCCCGGGAAACCGGAGCUAAUACCGGAUAUGACAUCAGGCCGCAUGGUCAUGGUGUGGAAAGUUUUUCGGUCUGGGAUGGCCCCGCGGCCUAUCAGCUUGUUGGUGAGGUAGUGGCUCACCAAGGCGACGACGGGUAGCCGGCCUGCGAGGGCGACCGGCCACACUGGGACUGAGACACGGCCCAGACUCCUACGGGAGGCAGCAGUGGGGAAUAUUGCACGAUGGGCGAAAGACUGAUGCAGCGACGCCGCGUGAGGGAUGACGGCCUUCGGGUUGUAAAGCUCUUUCACCGGAGAGGAUAAUGACGGUAUCCGGAGAAGAAGCCCCGGCUAACUUCGUGCCAGCAGCCGCAGUAAAAC
rnacentral:rRNA from 1 species